rnacentral:tRNA from 1 species
GCCGGGGUGGUGGAAUAGGUAGACACGCCGUCCUCAGGAGGCGGUGGGCAAUUGCCUGUGCGGGUUCGAGUCCCGCCCCCGGCACCA